AAAGACUCAAUUCUUGGGUUUCCGUAUCCAACGUUUGACCGUCCGUCCUAUUUAAAAAAAUAUGAAAAAAAAUUAAAAAGAUAAGUCACACAUAAAGUAUUAUUUAUGUUUUAUCAUCUAACAACAAUGAAAAUAUUAAUUAUAAAGAAAAUUCAUAUAAGACGGAUAGUCAAACGUUGGACACGGAAACCUAUGAAUUGAGUCUUU
rnacentral:pre_miRNA from 1 species